UGGAGGGCAAGUCUCGGUGCCAGCAGCCGCGGUAAUUCCAGCUCCAAUACCGUAUAUUAAACUUGUUGCAGUUAAAAAGCUCGUAUUUGAAUUUCUGCGUUGCCCGACUCGGCUACUUGCCUUGUCUGGUUUCGCUUUUGGGGUUUUCCCCUUUUUACUUUGAGAAAAUUAGAGUGUUUCAAGCAGACUUGUGUCUUGAAUACUUCAGCAUGGAAUAAUAAAGUAGGACUUUGGUUCUAUUUUGUUGGUUUGUGAACCUUAGUAAUGGUUAAUAGGAACGGUUGGGGGCAUUCGUAUUUAACUGUCAGAGGUGAAAUUCUUACAUUUGUUAAAGACGAACUACUGCGAAAGCAUUUGCCAAGGACGUUUUCAUUAAUCUAGAACGAAAGUUAGGGGAUCGAAGACGAUCAGAUACCGUCGUA
rnacentral:rRNA from 1 species